UAGGUAGAGACGCUCGGCGAACGCGGCUUGCUCAGCGUGGCGACGAACGCUGGCGGCGUCUCACACGCCUGUUUAUGUGUGUAAUCAGUUGACAGUGUUCAACUGCGAAAGCCAAGAAGUGCGGAGGUGUCCGUUGCUCCCCUCCUCUUUACAGCUCCAUAUUGCGCAGUCACUGGCAAUUCCUGUAAGUUGGUCUCUUGCGCAUGACUCCCUCCCGAAGGCUAAUAUUCCGGUUACACACGACACACUUUCGAUAACGGUCAAGCCCAAUCAGCAUCGAAUUUCUCUGUUUCGACUGGCUCCGUUCCGCAAUUUGAACAGAGGAGCCAAUCGUGUUCGAAGAAAUCCUAUCCCGACUGGGCACGAUAGCGAUCGACAAGGGCGCCGCAAGCAUGCCGUCGGCGGGAAAGCAGGGGCAGUCCAUGCUGACCGGAGAGCAGAGAAGCUGGAUAUUGGCCUUGGUGGACCUUCUCCUGCUCAUGGUAGACGAGCUCUUUCGACGAUUCAACGAGAUGAUUGAGGCACUGAGAAGAUACGAGGAGUAGGAUGG